AAGAAUAUAUACAUGUAUAUAUAAACGUCUAUAUUAUUUAAAAAAUAAAAGUAAAAUUACAGGUGUUUUUAGAAAAAAAAAACUCCGGAACCGCGGAAGGGCAUAUGCUGCUGAUACCCCGUUAUUUUUCUUCCCUUUUGUUUUUCUUCCUUCGGGCGCCGCCUUUCUCUGGAGACUUCGGAGUCUCGAGGGCACCAACGGCGUCUUCUCCGAGAGCCAAGCUCCCGAUUCCUUGACCCACCGACACCCCCGCGCCACCUGCACCCGCACCUCCGUCUCGGCCACCCCUGACAUCCUCUUCCGUAAGAUUCCGCGAUCCGCUAGGACGCAGGUUUGAAGAGGGAACCCCAUCCCGCCGCNNNNN
rnacentral:lncRNA from 1 species